GCCGUGGUGGCUCAGUGGUUGAGCAUUGACCUAUGAACCAGGAGGACAUGGUUCGAUUCCUGGUCACGGCA
rnacentral:tRNA from 1 species